UAGGUUUUAAUUUCACCCAAAUCCAACUCUCCCUCCUUUGCACCCCAGAUCUACCUCCACCCCUGAUCUACCUCCUUCGCAUGCCAAAUUUGGUUCACCUCCGCGUGAUUAGUGGUGGCAAUGAUUCUCCCUCCUUCGCACACCAGAUUGAGAACCAUACCCCACACCAACGUGAAGGCCACAAGCCCGCCCCAAAAACCCUAAUCACACCCGUAUCCUUCACUGCCGACAUAUCCUUUGUUUUUCGAAUCAUUUCCGUUUAGCUUGAAACAUAUGUCCGUUACUAUCGUUGGUGGAUUUUCAUUACAUCUAAGUUACACUAGAAAGGGGCUGCCAAAAAAUAGGGUGUUAUGAGCCGAUUGGAAGUUCUACUUACCUGAUGUUCUUUCAAGCUUUUCUUCCGAUGAAAUUCUACUUCAGGUAUCAUUAUCGGGUUACAGGAUUGAUACACAAGAUGAGGUGUAAUUUAAACCCAUAUCUUUCAUAUGCAAGUUCGAUAGAGCCAUUAGCACUGGCGGAUGUGUAGAUACUCUUAUCAACAACCAUUGCGAUUUUGUACAUAUGAUUGUAUUCACUUUGUGAAGAGGUGCCUAUGCAUAUAUGGAGCAUGAGGAUGAUGGAACAUGUAUGUUCUUUAAAGAAGGGAUUUGCAAAAGGCAAUGCCGUUCCCUACAUAUCCUCAUGAAUAUCAUAAUCCAAAAGCUUCCAGUGAUAUCAUUUCAGAUGAAACAGUCUCAACAUGGAGCAUCUUGAUUCACCCAUGUUCGAACAGAAAAAUCUGGACCGUCGAAAAUUCAUUAAGUUUUAUUGUUAUUGGAUGGCGUAACCUAAUGAAUCCAUAAGAAAUCUCCAUAGGCGAUGCUUGUGUGUUCAAAGAUCUAUGAGGCAAGAGAAGAGGGAUUGCUUAUGAAAUGUUACAGUGUGUACAUGGAUGAACAAUAAUAACCAAAGAUGACGUUUAGGAACCUUAGUGAUCAAGUAUGAAGAAAAACUCAUUGGUAGUUCACCAAGAAAAGGUAUAAAAUGGUAGUUAUUUUUACUAUCAUUGGGCAAUAUACGAAAGCUUUGUUUGGUAGACCUACCAACUUAAGGAACAUAUGAUUUCCUCUAAAGAUGAAGUUAUUUAAAUCAAAUCUGGUGGGUUGAGAAAACUUAUGCUGGAGGCUGUUACGUUUGGUUCCCUUUUGUGGGAUGUUGAGAGCUACGCUGGUUCCAGGAUCAGGUUAAGAUGAUGAUAGCGGAGUCUUCAUGACAGACAUGAUGGAGUGGACGCAUAUGUUGUAUGUGGUCGUGGGAUUGCAUGGCUAGGAUCGAACACUACAUAUGAUAACAAGGCGUUUCCUAUUACAAAGAAGAUGAAGAUGUCUAUUGUUUUAUUAGUGACACUUGUGAUUGUGUGAUUUAUUUUAUAUUGUAUAUAAAUAACAGUUUUAUGUAAUCAAAUUAAUUUGAUGAACAUUUGUAGUGCCAAAGAAGAUGUUUGUUUU